GAGAGAAGCUCGCCAGCAACGAAUACUGCUAAUCUCCGUGACCUUGGUUGGACCCCAGGGCUCACUCG
rnacentral:tRNA from 1 species